rnacentral:lncRNA from 1 species
AAAAAUCAGAGCUCUUCUCCCCUCUUAAAGCUCCAGCCUGGAUCCGAUCAAACGCUCCGGCGUGCCUCCGCCGUAGAUCCGCCGCAGGCGGUGGCCGGAGGUACAAAAUGGAACCUUUCCGGUUCCUUUUUGAAGCCGAUGACCUCUUGAGCACGGAUCCAAUGCCGAAUCUUGUGAAAGGUGAGCCCAACCCCAAAAACCGAGGAGU